AGCUUUCCGCAGUGGCACUAUCGUAGCCAGUGAGGUUUAUCUGAGGCGCGAUUAUUGCUAAUUGAAAACUUCCACCUGUGUCCCUAGGCAACCGAGGUUGUGCCAAACCUCACUCUGCCACUAGA
rnacentral:snRNA from 1 species